UACGUAGGGGGCAAGCGUUGUCCGGAUUUAUUGGGCGUAAAGAGCGUGUAGGCGGCCAGGUAGGUCAGCUGUGAAAACUCGAGGCUCAACCUCGAGACGUCGGUUGAAACCACCUGGCUAGAGUCCGGAAGAGGAGAGUGGAAUUCCUGGUGUAGCGGUGAAAUGCGCAGAUAUCAGGAGGAAUACCGGUGGCGAAGGCGGCAUCCUGGACCAUUACUGACGCUGAGGCGCGAAAGCUAGGGGAGCAAACGGG
rnacentral:rRNA from 1 species